ACACGACUACAUUAGAUACCCGCGUAGUCCUAGCCGUAAACGAUACUCGCUAGGUGUCGGCCACGGUGCGACCGUUGUCGGUGCCGUAGGGAAGCCGUGAAGCGAGCCACCUGGGAAGUACGGCCGCAAGGCUGAAACUUAAAGGAAUUGGCGGGGAGCACCACAACGGGUGGAGCCUGCGGUUUAAUUGGACUCAACGCCGGGAAGCUCACCGGAUAAGACAGCGGAAUGAUUGCCGGGCUGAAGACCCUGCAUGACCAGCUG
rnacentral:rRNA from 1 species